UGUGGGGAUCUCUCCCAUAUAGGGGGAGAUAACCUGUGGAAAGGGGGGCUAAUACCGCAUAGCGUCACGAGACCAAAGAGGGGGACCUUCGGGUCUCUCUCUAUCAGAUGAACCCAUGGGGUAUUAUCUAGUGCGGGGGGUAGGGGCCCCCCUGCGACACUACCCCUCUGGGGUCUGAGAAGAAGACCACCCACUGUGGCUCUGACACACGGCCCACACUCCUACGGGGGGCAGCUGUGGAGAAUAUUGCACUGUGGGCGCACGCCUGAUGCACCUGUGCCGCGUGUAUGAAAAGCGUCUUCGGUUUGUAAAGUUUUUUCCGCGGAGAAGAGGGAGAGGGGGUUAAUAACCCUGUAUAGUGACUUUACCCGCAAAAAAAACCCCCUCUAUCUCCGUGCCCACCCCCGCGGUAAUACAGAGGGUGCACGCGUUUCUCAAAUUUAGUGGGCGUAAAGCGCACGCGGGCGGUCUGUUAAGUCAUAUGUGAAUCUCCCCGGUCUUAACCUGUGAACUCUGUUUUUGAAAUCUGGCAGGCUUGAGACUCUUGUAGAGGGGGGUAGAAUUCCAGUGUGUAGCGGUGAGAUGUGCGUAGAGAUCUGGAGGAAUACCGGUGGGGAGAGCGCGGCCCCCUGUGACACAGACAGUGACUCUCAGUGUGCGAGAGCGUGGGGAGCACACGAGGAUUAUAUACCCUGUGAUAGUCCACGCCGUAUACGAUGUCGUACAUUGGAGGUUGUGUCCUUUGAGGAGUGUCUUCCGGAGCUAUACGCGUUAAGUCGACCGCCUGUGGAGAUACGGCCGCAAGUUUACAAACUCAAAUGAAUUGACGGGGGCCCGCACAAGCGGUGGAGCAUGUGGUUUAAUUCGAUGCAACGCGAAGAACCUUACCUACUCUUGACAUCCAGCGAACUUAGCAGAGAUGCUUUGGUGCCUUCGGGAACGCUGAGACAGGUGCUGCAUGGCUGUCGUCAGCUCGUGUUGUGAAAUGUUGGGUUAAGUCCCGCAACGAGCGCAACCCUUAUCCUUUGUUGCCAGCGAUUCGGUCGGGAACUCAAAGGAGACUGCCGGUGAUAAACCGGAGGAAGGUGGGGAUGACGUCAAGUCAUCAUGGCCCUUACGAGUAGGGCUACACACGUGCUACAAUGGCGCAUACAAAGAGAAGCGACCUCGCGAGAGCAAGCGGACCUCACAAAGUGCGUCGUAGUCCGGAUCGGAGUCUGCAACUCGACUCCGUGAAGUCGGAAUCGCUAGUAAUCGUGGAUCAGAAUGCCACGGUGAAUACGUUCCCGGGCCUUGU
rnacentral:rRNA from 1 species